ACGAACGCUGGCGGCGUGGAUAAGACAUGCAAGUCGAGCGGGACAUUUCGGGUAGCAAUAUUCGAGAUGUCUAGCGGCGAAAGGGUGCGUAACACGUGGGUAAUCUGCCAUGAAGUUUGGAAUAACUCGCUGAAAGGCGAGCUAAUACCGGAUGUGAUCAUUGAGGGACAUCCUUUGAUGAUUAAAGUUGGGGACCGUAAGGCCUGACGCUUCAUGAUGAGCCCGCGGCCUAUCAGCUAGUUGGUGAGGUAACGGCUCACCAAGGCUAAGACGGGUAGCCGGUCUGAGAGGACGACCAGCCACACUGGAACUGAGACACGGUCCAGACACCUACGGGUGGCAGCAGUCGAGAAUUUUUCACAAUGGGGGAAACCCUGAUGGAGCGACGCCGCGUGAGGGAUGAAUGGCUUCGGCCCGUAAACCCCUGUCAUUCGGGAUCAAUGCCUGCGGCAUAAUACGUUGCAGGUUGAUAGUACCGGAAGAGGAAGGGACGGCUAACUCUGUGCCAGCCGCCGCCGCAG
rnacentral:rRNA from 1 species